rnacentral:rRNA from 1 species
AUACGUAGGGUGCAAGCGUUAAUCGGAAUUACUGGGCGUAAAGCGUGCGCAGGCGGUUUUGUAAGACAGUGGUGAAAUCCCCGGGCUCAACCUGGGAACUGCCAUUGUGACUGCAAGGCUGGAGUGCGGCAGAGGGGGAUGGAAUUUCGCGUGUAGCAGUGAAAUGCGUAGAUAUGCGGAGGAACACCGAUGGCGAAGGCAAUCCCCUGGGCCUGCACUGACGCUCAUGCACGAAAGCGUGGGGAGCAAACAGGAUUAGAUACCCUGGUAGUCCACGCCCUAAACGAUGUCAACUGGUUGUUGGGGACUUUUUUCUCAGUAACGAAGCUAACGCGUGAAGUUGACCGCCUGGGGAGUACGGCCGCAAGGUUAAAACUCAAAUGAAUUGGCGGGG